rnacentral:rRNA from 1 species
UACGGGGGGGGCAAGCGUUGUUCGGAAUUACUGGGCGUAAAGGCUCGUAGGCGGCCAACUAAGUCAAACGUGAAAUCCCCAGGCUCAACCUGGGAACUGCGUCUGAUACUGGAUGGCUUGAAUCCGGGAGAGGGAUGCAGAAUUCCAGGUGUAGCGGUGAAAUGCGUAGAUAUCUGGAGGAAUACCGGUGGCGAAGGCGGCAUCCUGGACCGGCAUUGACGCUGAGGAGCGAAAGCUAGGGGAGCAAACGGG